rnacentral:rRNA from 1 species
GGUUAAGCGACUAAGCGUACACGGUGGAUGCCUAGGCAAUCAGAGGCGAUGAAGGACGUGCUAAUCUGCGAUAAGCGUCGGUAAGGUGAUAUGAACCGUUACAACCGACGAUUUCCGAAUGGGGAAACCCAGUGCAAUUCGUUGCACUAUCGUUUGAUGAAUACAUAGUCAAACGAAGCGAACCGAGGGAACUGAAACAUCUCAGUACCUCGAGGAAAAGAAAUCAACCGAGAUUCCCCUAGUAGCGGCGAGCGAACGGGGAGCAGCCCAGAGUCUUAAUCAGCAUUAGCAUCAGGAGAACGGUCUGGAAAGGCCGGCAGUAAAGGGUGAUAGCCCCGUAUCCGAAGGUGUUAGUGUUGUGAACUCGACGAGUAGGGCGGGACACGUGUUAUCCUGUCUGAAUAUGGGGGGACCAUCCUCCAAGGCUAAAUACUCCUGAUUGACCGAUAGUGAACCAGUACCGUGAGGGAAAGGCGAAAAGAACCCCGGCGAGGGGAGUGAAAUAGAACCUGAAACCGUGUACGUACAAGCAGUGGGAGCACCUUUAUGGUGUGACUGCGUACCUUUUGUAUAAUGGGUCAGCGACUUAUAUUCUGUAGCAAGGUUAACCGUAUAGGGGAGCCGUAGGGAAACCGAGUCUUAACUGGGCGAAUGAGUUGCAGGGUAUAGACCCGAAACCCGGUGAUCUAGCCAUGGGCAGGUUGAAGGUUGGGUAACACUAACUGGAGGACCGAACCGACUAAUGUUGAAAAAUUAGCGGAUGACUUGUGGCUGGGGGUGAAAGGCCAAUCAAACCGGGAGAUAGCUGGUUCUCCCCGAAAGCUAUUUAGGUAGCGCCUCGUGAACUCAUCUUCGGGGGUAGAGCACUGUUUCGACUAGGGGGUCAUCCCGACUUACCAACUCGAUGCAAACUACGAAUACCGAAGAAUGUUAUCACGGGAGACACACGGCGGGUGCUAACGUUCGUCGUGAAGAGGGAAACAACCCAGACCGCCAGCUAAGGUCCCAAAGUCAUAGUUAAGUGGGAAACGAAGUGGGAAGGCUCAGACAGCCAGGAUGUUGGCUUAGAAGCAGCCAUCAUUUAAAGAAAGCGUAAUAGCUCACUGGUCGAGUCGGCCUGCGCGGAAGAUGUAACGGGGCUAAACUAUGCACCGAAGCUGCGGCAGCGAUAUGUAAAUAUUGUUGGGUAGGGGAGCGUUCUGUAAGCCUGUGAAGGUGUACUGUGAGGUAUGCUGGAGGUAUCAGAAGUGCGAAUGCUGACAUAAGUAACGAUAAUGCGGGUGAAAAACCCGCACGCCGGAAGACCAAGGGUUCCUGUCCAACGUUAAUCGGGGCAGGGUGAGUCGACCCCUAAGGCGAGGCAGAAAUGCGUAGUCGAUGGGAAACGGGUUAAUAUUCCCGUACUGGUGAUAAUUGCGAUGGGGGGACGGAGAAGGUUAGGCUAGCCGGGCGACGGUUGUCCCGGUUUAAGGAUGUAGGCAGGUGAAUUAGGCAAAUCCGGUUCACUAUAUGCUGAGGUCUGAUGACGAGUCACUACGGUGGCGAAGUAGCUCAUACCCCGCUUCCAGGAAAAGCCUCUAAGCUCUAGAUUAUCAUUAAUCGUACCCCAAACCGACACAGGUGGUCAGGUAGAGAAUACUCAGGCGCUUGAGAGAACUCGGGUGAAGGAACUAGGCAAAAUGGUGCCGUAACUUCGGGAGAAGGCACGCUGGCAUUAGGUGAAGUGAUUUACUCAUGGAGCUGAAGCCAGUCGCAGAUACCAGCUGGCUGCAACUGUUUAUUAAAAACACAGCACUGUGCAAACACGAAAGUGGACGUAUACGGUGUGACGCCUGCCCGGUGCUGGAAGGUUAAUUGAUGGGGUUAUCCGUAAGGAGAAGCUCUUGAUCGAAGCCCCAGUAAACGGCGGCCGUAACUAUAACGGUCCUAAGGUAGCGAAAUUCCUUGUCGGGUAAGUUCCGACCUGCACGAAUGGCGUAAUGAUGGCCAGGCUGUCUCCACCCGAGACUCAGUGAAAUUGAACUCGCUGUGAAGAUGCAGUGUACCCGCGGCAAGACGGAAAGACCCCGUGAACCUUUACUAUAGCUUGACACUGAACAUUGAGCCUUGAUGUGUAGGAUAGGUGGGAGGCUUUGAAGCGUGGACGCCAGUCUGCGUGGAGCCAACCUUGAAAUACCACCCUUUAAUGUUUGAUGUUCUAACGUAGCCCCGUAAUCCGGGGUGCGGACAGUGUCUGGUGGGUAGUUUGACUGGGGCGGUCUCCUCCCAAAGAGUAACGGAGGAGCACGAAGGUUGGCUAAGCAUGGUCGGACAUCAUGCGGUUAGUGCAAAGGCAUAAGCCAGCUUGACUGCGAGAGUGACGGCUCGAGCAGGUACGAAAGUAGGUCUUAGUGAUCCGGUGGUUCUGUAUGGAAGGGCCAUCGCUCAACGGAUAAAAGGUACUCCGGGGAUAACAGGCUGAUACCGCCCAAGAGUUCAUAUCGACGGCGGUGUUUGGCACCUCGAUGUCGGCUCAUCACAUCCUGGGGCUGAAGUAGGUCCCAAGGGUACGGCUGUUCGCCGUUUAAAGUGGUACGCGAGCUGGGUUUAGAACGUCGUGAGACAGUUCGGUCCCUAUCUGCCGUGGGCGUUGGAAGAUUGAAAGGGGCUGCUCCUAGUACGAGAGGACCGGAGUGGACGCACCACUGGUGUUCGGGUUGUCAUGCCAAUGGCAUUGCCCGGUAGCUAAGUGCGGAAGAGAUAACCGCUGAAAGCAUCUAAGCGGGAAACUUGCCUUGAGAUGAGUCUUCCCUGACCCUUUAAGGGUCCUAAAGGAACGUUUAAGACUAAGACGUUGAUAGGUUGGGUGUGUAAGCGUAGCGAUACGUUGAGCUAACCAAUACUAAUGAACCGUGAGGCUUAACCUG